rnacentral:rRNA from 1 species
UACGUAGGAUCCAAGCGUUGUCCGGAAUUACUGGGCGUAAAGCGUGCGCAGGCGGUUUUGUAAGCCAGAUGUGAAAUCCCCGGGCUUAACCUGGGAAUGGCAUUUGGGACUGCAAGGCUUGAGUGCGGCAGAGGAGACUGGAAUUCCUGGUGUAGCAGUGAAAUGCGUAGAUAUCAGGAGGAACACCGAUGGCGAAGGCAGGUCUCUGGGCUGACACUGACGCUCAUGCACGAAAGCGUGG